GUGCACAUAAAAUAUUCACAAAAUAAAAGUUUAAUAGUAAAUUAAAUCACACAUAUACUUGAUCUGGAUGACAAUUAUUGAGAUCAGGCAUCGAAAAGGUGACACUUGGCUUCAUACAGUUAAUGUUGCACAUACGCAAGGCAAAUGCAAUUUGAUGGGUUGUUAUAGUGCACAUCAGAAAUACAGCAAUAAACAUAAAAUGAUGAUUAGUCACUACAGAGGUUAUAACAGACCAGAGCAAUAUUCAGUUUCAAGAGAAAUAAAAAGGAGAACAAGCCAGACCAUUAAAAAAUGUGUAUGGGUCUUAGGGAUGGGGGACAAGAACAUAUUGUUUUAGUAAAAGCAAAGAAAACAUGAAAUGCUUAAUAAGACAAGUAAACAUGGUAGGCAGUGACAGGAUGUGACAGUUCUGCAGUGGAAAAUGUGCUCUGUGGGUUCACUGGUCACUGCAGACAAAAGCACAAAACUGUAUUUGAAUACGUGACAUGACCUUCCUUUACGUGUUGAAUUUAGAUGACCUGUGCUGGCAUUCACACUUUGAAUAGUUGAUCUUCAUAUUCCUUUUUUAUUUUUUAUUUUUUUAUUUUUUUUUAGGCAGCAUUACUAAAAAAUUUCAGUCUCUACAGCACGUCUGCAAGCCUUCGAGAUCCUGAGCGGAGAGUAAAACAGUUUACACUCCUUCACAGCCCUUAAACUGAGUGUCCUGUUAUGGCCAGUUUUCAGACCAGGAUUCUUCGUCUGCAUCUCUGUGUUGUUAUUAUUCUCCUGACUCAUGCAGAUUAUUCCAAAUCUAAUCAAGAGCAAAGGAUUCGGCAGCACAUCAACAAAACAGUGUUUGUGGGGGAAACAGUUACACUUCACUGCAACAAAACCCAACUUGAUGAUGAUUUCACAUGGAAAAUGAACAACUCGGUUAUUUUUAGGCAUGUCUCUGAUAUUAACAUAACUAAGACAAACUUCAUCUCCAACAGGAUUCACAUCGACCCCGCAGCUCCAAGAGAAUUAACAAUACAUCAAAUACAAGCGUCUGAUGCAGGAAACUACAGCUGCUACCCAGCAGCAAUAAGAUGGACAUUAACAAUAACAGAUAUCCAGAUCAGACCAGAAUCACUCAAACAAAUGUCGCUGAACAUCAUCAUCAUUAUCAUCUCAUGUUCUGGAGUCAUUAUGGUCUGUUUUAUCAUCACCAUCAGCAUCUGCAUUCACAGGAAACAGAAGACACAAGAUCAACUCCGGUUCAGAGGAUUUAAGUCUCUACAGCACGUCUGCAUGAUCUUGAGCAGUUUAAGCUCCUUCACAGCUCUGUUAUGGCGAAUGUUCAAACCAGGAUUCUUCAUCUGGAUCUCUCUAUCAUCAUUAUUUUCCUGAUUCAUGCAGAUUAUUCAAAAUCUAAUCAAGAGCAAAGGAUUCAGCAGCACAUCAACAAAACAGUGUUUGUGGGGGAAACAGUUACACUUCACUGCAACAAAACCCAACUUGAUGAUGAUUUCACAUGGAAAAUGAACAACUCUGUUAUUUUUAGGCAGGUCUCUUAUUUUAACAUAACUAAGACAAACUUCAGCUCAAACAGGAUUCACAUCGACCCCGCAGCUCCAAGAGAAUUAACAAUACAUCAAAUACAAGCGUCUGAUGCAGGAAACUACAGCUGUUACCCAGCAGCAAUAAGAUGGACAUUAACAAUAACAGAAAACACAACCAGACCAGAAUCACUCAAACAAAUGCCGCUGUACAUCAUCUUCUCAUGUUCUGGAGUCAUUAUGAUCUGUCUGAUCAUAACCAUCUGCGUUCACAGUAAACUGAAGCAGAUGAAGACAAACUCUGAUCUCUGUGAAACAGACCAGGAGGCAGAAAGUUUAUUUACCACAGAACAGUUCAGUCUCUACAGCACGUCUGCUAGCCUUCGAGAUCCUGAGCGGAGAGUAAAACAGUUUACACUCCUUCACAGCCCUUAAACUGAGUGUCCUGUUAUGGCCAGUUUUCAGACCAGGAUUCUUCGUCUGCAUCUCUGUGUUGUUAUUAUUCUCCUGACUCAUGCAGAUUAUUCCAAAUCUAAUCAAGAGCAAAGGAUUCGGCAGCACAUCAACAAAACAGUGUUUGUGGGGGAAACAGUUACACUUCACUGCAACAAAACCCAAUUAGAUGAUGAUUUCACAUGGAAAAUGAACAACUUCGUUAUUUUUAGGCACGUCUCUGAAAGAAACAGAACAAUGAAAAACUUCAUCUCCAACAGGAUUCACAUCGACCCCGCAGCGCCAAGAGAAUUAACAAUACAUCAAAUACAAGCGUCUGAUGCAGGAAACUACAGCUGUUACCCAGCAGCAAUAAGAUGGACAUUAACAAUAACAGAUAUCCAGAUCAGACCAGAAUCACUCAAACAAAUGUCGCUGAACAUCAUCAUCAUUAUCAUCUCAUGUUCUGGAGUCAUUAUGAUCUGUUUUAUCAUCACCAUCAGCAUCUGCAUUCACAGGAAACUGAGACAGAAGAUCAGCUCUGGUUCAGAGGAUGUGAAGAUGAUCUCUGACUGUGACAAACACACAGUAACAGCCUGUGUCUACAGUCUUCAUACAGUUUCAUGAACAUCUUUUCUUCUCAAGACAGCAGUGUGUGUCUGACACUCAACAGAUCAUCAUUACAAUACAGGAAGAUGUUUGAGAACGAGACCAUUACAAUAAUAAAUACAGUCUCAGAGGAUCUGUAUGUGAAUGUGUAUUUGCCUCUAAAAUGCUGUUUGCUUAUUUGAUUUAAAAUAUCUACCAAAUAAAUUUCACUUUAAUUUUCAGACAGAGGAAUAUGAGUUAUAAACUUUGAUAUGGCCAACUAUAGAUACAACAUCAUUUACCAUUAUCAAAUAAACAACUGACAGAUUUCAUAGAAAGUCACAAAGUGUAUUAUGGUGACAGACUCUGAUUUUUUAGCUUCAAACAAUGAAUCCAUCCAGUUGGAGGAUAUCAAACAUGACUGAUAUUUUAAACUGAUUUUAGAACCACUUUUUUUUUUUUCAUUAACCACACAUCUCAGCAAGGAGGCAUAUAUUUCUGUGUGACUUUGUCGUGUUCGGAGUGACUUGAAAGUCUGGUUGUGUAUCAUCCAGUUGUUUAGUGUGUUUUUUUCCUGUAACUAUUUACAAAGUCAGCAAAUGUACGAUGGCUAGUAUUUUAAAAUCUGUCCAGAUUUUAGUAAUUGAAUUAAGUCAGCAGCAAUAAAAUAAAAAUACUAAAAAGUAAAAAAGUUUCCGGUCUGUCAGUGUGAGAUUUCCUUCUAUCACAGAGUAUCCUGUCAGAAACAUACAGUGUAAACCAGAUGACACAGC
ensembl:lncRNA